GGGGAUGUAGCUCAGCUGGUUAGAGCGCCAGCCUGUCACGCUGGAGGCCGAGGGUUCGAGUCCCUUCAUCCUCG
rnacentral:tRNA from 1 species